rnacentral:rRNA from 1 species
AUUGAACGCUGGCGGCAGGCCUAACACAUGCAAGUCGAGCGGAUGAAGGGAGCUUGCUCCUGGAUUCAGCGGCGGACGGGUGAGUAAUGCCUAGGAAUCUGCCUGGUAGUGGGGAUAACGUCCGGAAACGGGCGCCAAUACCGCAUACCUUCUGAGGGAGAAAGUGGGGGAUCUUCGGACCCCACGCCACUCGAUUAGUCUAGGUCGGAUUAGCUAGUUGGUGGGGUAAAGGCCUACCAAGGCGACGAUCCGUAACUGGUCUGAGAGGAUGAUCAGUCACACUGGAACUGAGACACGGUCCAGACUCCUACGGGAGGCAGCAGUGGGGAAUAUUGGACAAUGGGCGAAAGCCUGAUCCAGCCAUGCCGCGUGUGUGAAGAAGGUCUUCGGAUUGUAAAGCACUUUAAGUUGGGAGGAAGGGCAGUAAGUUAAUACCUUGCUGUUUUGACGUUACCAACAGAAUAAGCACCGGCUAACUUCGUG